UGGCGGCACUAGCGCGGUGGUCCCACCUGACCCCAUGCCGAACUCAGAAGUGAAACGCCGUAGCGCCGAUGGUAGUGUGGGGUCUCCCCAUGCGAGAGUAGGGAACUGCCAGACAUCAAAUAAAACAAAAG
rnacentral:rRNA from 1 species